AGGAGGAGAAGGAGGAGGAGGAGACUAAUCACUUUCAAUUGAAGACCCUCAAUUGCAAAGGUCAAUUGAUUUUGAAAUCUGGAAAAUUCCUUUCCACUUGCAUUGAGAUCCAAACAUGCUUUUGGAACCACAGUUUGAACUUGAAAAGUAUAUCCUCUGCAAAUCUUUGUGGAAAUGGAGAUGUGGAUAUAAAAAAAACAUUGACAGCACAGGAGGAGAAUGGUGCUUCUCUUACAAGGAUGGCUGAUAGGCGGUCACCAGAGCUGUCACCGCGCCCAUGAAGUUCGAGAUCUGCACUCCUGCUGUGCACGUUGAGGAGCUCAGACUCUGUUGCAUCUACUUAAGAGGAAGCUCAUUCUGCUGCUUCCAGAC